AUACUGCAGUCGAGCGAACGGACGAGAAGCUUGCUUCUCUGAUGUUAGCGGCGGACGGGUGAGUAACACGUGGAUAACCUACCUAUAAGACUGGGAUAACUUCGGGAAACCGGAUCUAAUACCGGACAAUAUUUUGAACCGCAGGGUUCAUAAGUGAAAGACGGUCUUGCUGUCACUUAUUGAUAGAUCCGCGCUGCAGUAGCUAGUUGGUAAGGUAACGGCUUACCAAGGCGACGAUGCAGAGCCGACCUGAGAGGGUGAUCGGCCACACUGGAACUGACACCCGGUCCACACCCCGACGGGAGGCAGCAGUAGGGAAUCUUCCGCAAUGGGCGAAAGCCCGACGGAUCAACGCCGCGGGAGUGAUGAAGGUCUUCGGAUCGUAAAACUCUGUUAUUAGGGAAGAACAUAUGUGUAAGUAACUGUGCACAUCUCGACGGUACCUAAUCAGAAUGCCACGGCGAUUACGUGCCAGCCGCCACGGUGAUACGUAUGUCGCGAGCGUUAUCCGGAAUUAUUGGGCGUAAAGCGCGGGUAGGCUGUUUUUUAAGUCCGAUGUGAAAGCCCACGGCUCAUCCUUGCAGGGUCAUUGGAGACUGGAGCACUUGAGUGCACAAUAGGAGAGUGGAAUUCCCCGUGUAGCGGUAAAAUGCGCAUAGAUGUGGGAAGAACACCAGUGGCUAAGGCCACUUUCUGGUCUGUAACUCACACUUAUAUGCGAAUGCGUGAGGAUCAAACCGGAUUAGAUACCCGUGUUCUCCACGCCUUAUACCAUAAGUGCUCACUGUUAGGGGGUUUCCGCCUCCUAGUGCUGCCUCUAAUGCACUAGUCACUCCUCCCGGUGCGUACUACAGCCGUGUGCAUUCUCAUCGGACUUGACGGGACACCCGCACCCGCGGUUGAAGCACGUGGUUUACUUAGAAGCAUCGCGCACAACCUUACACAAUCGUCGACCUCCCUUGGACAACUCUCGUGGCGGUGUCAUCCCCUUCCGGGCGAAAAAAUUGAACAGGUUGCUUGCAAGGGUUGUUCCUCCCCCUCGGGCCGGGAGAUUUUUUGAUUUAAAUACCCUCACCCAAGUGCAACCCG
rnacentral:rRNA from 1 species